GUUUAAAUAGACAUAGAACUCAUUAAUCUUUUAUUGUAGGAUUUAAUGACGCUAGCAGAAGGGUAACAUGCAAUCCUCGUGGACUAUAAAGUUCAGUAAUAAUCUAGCAAGUCAAUAUUUCUUGUUAAAAUUAGUGAAACAAUCAAUAUUUGCAUAUCUCGCUUUUGGUCCAUAACAUCGCGGUUUUCUGAGCGUUUUAUCACAUCGAUAUCAAUAUUAGAUGCUGUAAAAUCCAAUUUGAUAACGAACACGUGUAAAACACUCUAAUGUAUUUUAACAAAUUACUUGAAUUCAUCCGAGCUGUUUCGGAAUGGGUUAAUAGCUUUGUUUUUACAAAUGUAGUUUUAUCCCUAUAUAAAUCGAUAGUCUGUCAUUAAGGAGGGCCCUCAUGGGGUUUUUGAUUAUGUGAUUACUUGGCCGUUUUUUUAAUGAUUAUUUGAUUAUUAAGCAAUAUUUCAUGAUUAUUGAUUACCUAGACUGUAUUUUUAGUUUAUGAUUAUUUGAUUACUAAAAGAUAAGCAAAUAUUUAAUGAUUAUGUGAUUAUAUUGGCAAAAAAAUGGUGAUUAUGUGAUUACUAGGACCCCCCCAUGAGGGGCCUCAUUAAGGAGGGUUUGGAUGGGGGUUCAGAGAAUAGAAAAUAAUGGUAAAAAAAAUAAUAGAGAAAAAUGGAUAAAAAAAAUUAAGAAUACAAAACAAUUAGGUGCUAACCUACAAUAUAAGAAAAAAGAAUAAUGGGCAAAAAGAAUGAAAUAAAUAAAUGAAAGAAUACCUAAAUUACAGACCCCCCAUCCAGCCCCUCAUUUAUCAGAAAAUAAUUCAGUGCUAGAUGUUGUCUCCCAUUUCAAAGAAAACUCUUGUUUAAAUUGAAAUCAACGGAAUAAUUUGUAUGUGUUGAAAUACGAUAUUAGUGACGAUUGCAUUGCAAUCUACUAUAAAGAGAUAUCCUUAAUGACCAUUUGAACAAACACGGAACAAUCUCGGAAGUGUCUUUUCAUUAAAUGCUCAGUGUGUUGCUUAUUUCAUUUACUAUUCCUGGUGUAAAUGACCGAAGUUUGUUGGAGGAGAUUUCUUUGUUGUUGCAGGAAAUGGCUUUGUGGCACGUGAUUUACAAUAAAAACAUGGCGUCGGGUCCGGCAGUUCGGAACUUUUCUAAAUUUUAACAUGAGGCCAAGAUUCUAAAGAUAGUUGAGAAUUACACAUUUACCUAGCAAACCGUACUUAAAAUGAGACAUUUUUCUCAUAAGAAGCCCUAUAAAAGACUCAGUCAUAAUGCGUAUUUGGUCAAUUAGCCUUUCAUUGUAAUUUGUUUUGGAGUUAUGUUUUGUAAUCUGAAACAGACUUAAAACAAAGACAUGACACAUCUUUUGGCUAGCAGAUGAUGACAAAUGAACAAAUACCAAGCAAUGCUGAAACUAAGCAAACAUAAAAAAAUUAUAUAAACACUUUAACGGAAGGAACUAAUCUUAAGAGUGUCCAUGAAACGAGUUUCUUGGUAGCAUUUCCAGUGGCGGAUCCAGCCAUUUUAAAAAGGGGGGGGGUCCAACUAUAUGCUCCCAUUCAAAUGCAUUGAUCAGCCAAAAAAGGGGGGGUUCCAACCCCUGGAAACCCCCCCCCCCUGAUCCGUCACUGAUUUCUCAUUAGUUUAAAAAAGGGAGAUGUAGUAUAGGAUUGCCAUUUACAACACUUUCCACCAAAUAUCAAAUAACGUAGAUGUAAGCAAAUUGAUCAAUCGGCAAUCCUCGGGUGAUCGGCCGAGUAUUGACGAUUGCAAAUGGGUGUCUCCUAACGACCUUUCGCCAAUGAGCUAAAACAUCAUACCGAACAGUAAAUCCAAAAGGCGACAAACUGAAGACAGUUCAGACGAGAUUUCAGACGAGAAUACCAAUGACCUGAUUUAUGAACCACAGAAUAAACUAAUUCAAGCCCUUUCCGUGUCCGAUUUUCUCCACACGAGGAGCCUUCGUAGAUCAGCGGAAUAUAACGACUGAAUUAUUCGGGUUAAGAAUAAACGAAAAACAAUAUGGCAGACAGCAACAAAGAACGACCAACAAAUUAAUUAAAAGGUCCUGACAUUUGUGACGGGCAUAUACAGAAUGUGAGGGGAUUGAACAAGCUUCCAAAUACAACUUCAUACAGCCCGCCCAAAACCGAAGUUUGCAAAGCAUAGGGUAUACAAUGUUUUUGAGCUAAAUUAACAAAAUGGUCUUCUUACGGCCAAACAAUGUCAAAGGGGGC
rnacentral:lncRNA from 1 species